UACGUAGGUGGCAAGCGUUGUCCGGAAUUAUUGGGCGUAAAGGGCGCGUAGGUGGCCCGGUCAGCGUGCGGUGAAAGCUCGGGGCUCAACCCCGAGUCGGCCGUGCGAACUGCUGGGCUGGAGCACUGUAGAGGCAGGCGGAAUUCCGGGUGUAGCGGUGGAAUGCGUAGAGAUCCGGAAGAACACCGGUGGCGAAGGCGGCCUGCUGGGCAGUGGCUGACACUGAGGCGCGACAGCGUGGGGAGCAAACAGG
rnacentral:rRNA from 1 species